rnacentral:rRNA from 1 species
AAACGACGAAUAAUACCCUAUGACAUAAACUCUUCGCAUGAGGAGCUUAUCAAAGAUUUAUCGGUGUAAGAUGGACUCGCGUCUGAUUAGCUAGUUGGUGAGGUAACGGCCCACCAAGGCGACGAUCAGUAGCCGGCUUGAGAGAGUGUACGGCCACAUUGGACUGAGACACGGCCCAGACUCCUACGGGAGGCAGCAGCC